GUCCCAGGCGUCUCGACCCGCGAAAGAGACCGGCGACCCAGUCGGAACUCCUCCGUCCGACCACAUCUCGGCGACGGACCACCGGCGUUAGCUUCGCCUAGACCACGCCGACGUGCCUCUGGCCACGGAUCGUCCACGCACAGACCCUGGAGAGAGAUUCGAAGCUCAGAAGCUCGAAGCUUUACCGACGAUUUCUGAAUUUUCCGGCUACUCCGACCACCGUUUGGGUUGUCCGAGCUCUUCUGGGUUCAUUUUCCGUCUUGCCUGCACCUGUAGACGUGUCAACCUCGACUAUAGCUGAAUUUUUGAAGCUGCUGGGUUGGUGUACUCCGGCUCCUCCGUUUGUUCAUCGUCAAAAUUCCGGGAAGUACCGUGUUUUGAAAUUGAGCGUAGGUGAGCUACGUUAUCUAUCUUUAGCCUUGGAGAAUUGUGGUUGCUGUUGCAGGAUGGGUUUUGUUUGAAAUUGUGCGAAUAAUGUUGUGUUGUAUGCAUGGAGUUUUGGUUGGGAAGUAAAGAACAACAGGAAGAAGUUAUUGGAGAGGUGAAAGUGCAAAAAUUAAGAAAAUGGUUAUUAAUCGGAAUUGAAGUAGUGAAUUGGUUUGCAAUGCUUUUGGUUGAUGAAUGAAAUUGUCGAUGGUAUUAGUAUCGGGUUUUGGUACAAA